CAACAACAGUCGGCACACACUGUAUACCACCAGCCGACUGUGCACCUUGCUUAUGGCCGCUUUCUCGUACAUGGUUGUAAGUCGAGCACAAAUUGAGGUGCAGUAGCACUGUCGAUCGACGGAGCAACUAGUUGGCAUCCAAAGCUGGACUGAAUGGAGGUUUCUGGCGCCUGGAAAGCGAGUUUCUAUCGGUACGUGUGUGACGAGUGGAGGUUUAGUUAUGCUUUAACUGCAUUUACUUUCACGAGUCUUGAAACAUACCAGUCGGUAGGAUUUUGGAGAAGAGGAAUUGUGGUAUAGGCAAACGUUGAUGUAUUUUGGAUAGUUAGGUAAUGUGAGAGCAGCCCAUGAUUAUGAGAAAUAACCUUGUCGAGCCAUGGGAGUUUCCAUAACCAGGGGCCGCUUGCACAUUACGGGACAUGACGUCCAUGGUUGGAUCUUAUCAAUCUUUCUGAAUGAUGAUUAAUCAAGCGCCACAAAUGAAGGGUAUCAUAACAACAGAACAUCCCAUGGCUUCGGAACAGCCCCUCAUCCAUAAAGAGAAGUUUACAAGGGCUUUCUGACUCUGGAUUGUGUUGCAACUGGGAUUUGAGUCGGAGAAGAAACGUUGGAAUCUAAAAGAGACGCCGGGUAGUACCUAGACUUGUCUGGUCGGGACUAUUCUUCUGGUGUGGCAGCAGCAAAAAACGUAGUUGGUGGAAAGCCGUUUCGUUUGCUGAAGUCUGGGCACACCAGAAAGGGCCAAGAAUCAUACCUAGUUACAGUGGAAUCCUUUGAAAGUUUGCGUUCACAGAUAGUUUCAUCCUUAGAGGUAGGCUUUGUGGUUCAUCCUGUGUCGAGGAGCUUAAGACUUAACAAUGGGGGCUCAAGAAAGUGCGCUAGCUGAAAGGCCCGUGCCGAAGAAUUCCACGUCCGGUUUUUUUUCAGGGAUAUGGAAUGGGUCUUUUGGGUGGCGUCUCCAUGAUGGCUAUUGCCUGUUGGAAAUGAACGAAGCACUCUCUCUCCACUCUCACCACUCAUCUGGAGAAGUGUGAAUCCAUCCAUGAAGCGAAGGUCAUCUCCAGCAAACGAAAGCCCAACCGCACCGAAAAUCACAUUUAGGACCACUACCAUAUGGUACAUCGAACUACAAUUGUAUAUAAGCAAGAGCUGGUAAAACAGUGGUAACCUUAGAAGAGGAACAAUGGCCAUUGAACAAAACUAUAGAUAUUAAAAAUUAAAACACACAAUACAUUGUAGAAGAAAAUACCAAGUAACUAACGAUUGUAAACUAACACGAGAUCUAUCACUUGAAAAAAAGUAUCUGGUAUGGAAUAAAUGACCUUUGAUAAGACUCAAAGAUCACCUUAUCCUCUUGGCCGAAUUUAGAGAAGAUGAAGAUUCUACUAGCUAUGGAGUGGCAAAAAGCAAUAGCUGAAGAAGUGAAUUUAAUAUACAAAAACAAAACUUGGAAGAUGAUGGAAUUAUCUAAAGGAUUAUAGCCAAUCUUAGCAAAAUAGAUCUUCAAAACAAAAAGAAAUGCACACAAUAAAAUCCACAAGUAUAAGGCCAAACUUAUAAGGGAAUCACAAGGAAAUUUGAAUAAAUUGAA